GAUGAACGCUGGCGGCGUGCCUAAUACAUGCAAGUCGAGCGAACAGACGAGGAGCUUGCUCCUCUGACGUUAGCGGCGGACGGGUGAGUAACACGUGGAUAACCUACCUAUAUGACUGGGAUAACUUCGGGAAACCGGAGCUAAUACCGGAUAAUAUAUUGAACCGCAUGGUUCAAUAGUGAAAGACGGUUUUGCUGUCACUUAUAGAUGGAUCCGCGCCGCAUUAGCUAGUUGGUAAGGUAACGGCUUACCAAGGCAACGAUGCGUAGCCGACCUGAGAGGGUGAUCGGCCACACUGGAACUGAGACACGGUCCAGACUCCUACGGGAGGCAGCAGUAGGGAAUCUUCCGCAAUGGGCGAAAGCUUGACGGAGCAACGCCGCGUGAGUGAUGAAGGUCUUCGGAUCGUAAAACUCUGUUAUUAGGGAAGAACAAAUGUGUAAGUAACUAUGCACGUCUUGACGGUACCUAAUCAGAAAGCCACGGCUAACUACGUG
rnacentral:rRNA from 1 species